rnacentral:misc_RNA from 1 species
GAAAUGCGAUAAGUAAUGUGAAUUGCAGAAUUCAGUGAAUCAUCGAAUCUUUGAACGCACCUUGCGCUCCUUGGUAUUCCUUGGAGCAUGCCUGUUUGAGUAUCAUGAAAUCUUCAAAGUAAAUCUUUUGUUAACUCAAUUGGUUUCUACUUUGGUAUUGGAGGUCUUUGCAGCUUCACACCUGCUCCUCUUUGUUCAUUAGCUGGAUCUCAGUGUUAUGCUUGGUUCCACUCGGCGUGAUAAGUUAUAUAUCGCUGAGGACACUGUAAAAGGUGGCCAAGGUAAAUGCGGAUGAACCGCUUCUAAUAGUCCAUUGACUUGGACAAUACUUUUAUGAUCUGAUCUCAAAUCAGGUAGGACUACCCGCUGAACUUAAGC